AUGUGGAAUAUACAGGAUG
rnacentral:piRNA from 1 species